GUGCUUGCUUCAGCAGCACAUAUAUUAAAAUUGGAACAAUAGAGAGAUUAGCACGACCCCUGUGCAAAGAUGACAUGCAAAUUCUUGAAGUAUUCCAUAUUUUU